UACGAAGGGGCUAGCGUUGCUUCGGAAUCACUGGGCGUAAAGCGCACGUAGGCGGAUUGUUAAGUCAGGGGUGAAAUCCUGGAGCUCAACUCCAGAACUGCCUUUGAUACUGGCGAUCUCGAGUUCGGGAGAGGUGAGUGGAACUGCGAGUGUAGAGGUGAAAUUCGUAGAUAUUCGCAAGAACACCAGUGGCGAAGGCGGCUCACUGGCCCGGUACUGACGCUGAGGUGCGAAAGCGUGGGAGCAAACAGGG
rnacentral:rRNA from 1 species